AUGAUUAAAAACGCCCAGAAAAACAAACUGAUCAUGGGACUAGCUUCCGAUCUGAUUCAGGAUGGGGUCGCGGUGUUACAGAAUGCGGAUGAUAGUAUUAUCUGCUUGGAACAUGACAUAGAAAAAGCGGUCAACCUGAAGUUGUUGCUUUAUAUUUUUGAAAUGAUGUCUGGCCUCAAGGUGAAUUUUCAAAAAAGUGAAAUCCUUACUGUGGGUGGAGAUGACAAUGUUGUUAGAGAAUAUGCUGAAUUGUUUAAUUGUGAUAUUGGGAGUUUCCCUAUUAAGUACUUAGGGAUGCCUGUGAGCUACACCAAUUUACGCAACUCUGAUUGGGAGUUCAUUCUGAUUAAGUAUCUUAAGAGAUUCGAAGCCUAG
rnacentral:rRNA from 1 species